UACGAAGGGGGCAAGCGUUGUUCGGAAUUACUGGGCGUAAAGGGCGCGCAGGCGGCCGAUCAAGUCAGAUGUGAAAGCCCCGGGCUCAACCUGGGAAUAGCAUUUGGGACUGGUCGGCUAGAGUUCGGGAGAGGAGAGUGGAAUUCCCAGUGUAGAGGUGAAAUUCGUAGAUAUUGGGAAGAACACCGGUGGCGAAGGCGGCACUCUGGGACGGUACUGACGCUGAGACGCGAAAGCGUGGGGAGCGAACAGG
rnacentral:rRNA from 1 species